rnacentral:lncRNA from 1 species
AUGAGUGUUAAUGGGAGUCGGGAAUUAAAUCCUGCCGGCUCAUUAGCAUGGGAUGAGGUGCCAUCUGCCAUGGCUGGCAGGUUCCCUGACACUGCUUUUUUUUUUUUUUUUUUUUUUUUUUUGGGGGGGGGGAAAAAAAUUUUAAAAAUUUUUUUUGGGCCNNNNNNNNNNNNNNNNNNNNUGAAACAGCAGCAACCCAGGACUGACAUUCGGGGCUCCACGCAGUGCAAUAACAGUGAGCCAUCUGCAAGGUGGAUGAUUGUUCACGAGAGGUUACUUGACCCACAAGAGGGACGAUGUCAGUGGAAGGAGGUGUCCAAGGGGCGACUUCCACAGGACGACCUGUCCCAGCCACCUUUUGAACUGUCCACGGCCCUUCCAGUGCUUCCCAGCCCGGCCAACGGAAUUAUGCAUAAAGACCAGGGCUGCCAAACUGACUAUGUUAUCAUCCUGGAUCCGUUUGUGACGGAUGUCAGGAAUGGGAAAGAGCCCGACACUGCAGCGCCUCUCAGGAUCAAGAAGCUGCAGCUGAAGGAAGAGCACCGCAGCAAGCUCAGUGAGCACAUAACAAAGAAGUGCCGGGAAGUACAGCUGCAACGCUUCCCUGGGCCAGUGCAGAGGUCCACUGAAAAGAUGCAUCGAGCACUGCCCAAAAAUGCCUGUGCUGGGGCCGGAGCCUUACCACCACGAAGUCCCUGUGUCCGCUUCAUCAAGCACAAGCCCCUCCUGCAUCCGGACCAGGUCAAGCAGAGGAGGCUUGGGGCAUCCAUUGCCUGCCCAGCGGCCUCGAGGACACCACGCUCCCGCCCCGUGCCUGUCUUUUUCCACAGCCCUGAGGCCACGUUUAUGCCUGAGGAGCAGCGUGAGGCCCUGGAGCUGCACAUUCGUGCCAAGAAGCUGCAGAUCCUUGAGAGACGUCUGGGCACGAAGCAUCCAUCCCAGUCAGCUGUGCCCCAGGAGGAGGGUGGCAGGGCAGCCCUAAGGACCAGCGCCCUGCCCAGCAUGCCCUGCAAAGUUGCAAAGACAUCGAGCACCUCGUGGAACCAGGGAUCCCACCAGGCAGACUCUGCUGAGGCGGUGCACAAGAGCAAGUGGCAGAACCUGCGGGCACUCUACUCUGCCCUGCAGGGCAAGGCCCACGGUCACAAGUAG